AGAGUUUGAUCCUGGCUCAGAACGAACGCUGGCGGCGUGGAUAAGACAUGCAAGUCGAGCGCUGAUUACCGGGUAGCAAUAUUCGGUAGUUGGAGCGGCGCAAGGGUGCGUAACACGUGGGUAAUCUGCCGUGAAGUUUGGGAUAACUUGCUGAAAGGCGAGCUAAUACCGGAUGUGAAACUUGGAAGGCAUCUUCUGAUUUUCAAAGCUGGGGACCGUAAGGCCUGGCGCUUCAUGAUGAGCCCGCGGCCUAUCAGCUAGUUGGUAAGGUAACGGCUUACCAAGGCUAAGACGGGUAGCUGGUCUGAGAGGACGACCAGCCACACUGGAACUGAGACACGGUCCAGACACCUACGGGUGGCAGCAGUCGAGAAUUUUUCACAAUGGGCGCAAGCCUGAUGGAGCGACGCCGCGUGGGGGAUGAAUGGCUUCGGCCCGUAA
rnacentral:rRNA from 1 species